AUGGCAUGGGCAUGCUUGCUGCGGACGCUCUUGGUUUCCACCUAUCUUGGAGCCAGCAUGGCCCAGACAGUCACUCAACCUCAGCAGGAAAAGUCCGUGCAGGAGGCAGAGUCGGUAACCCUGGACUGCACAUACGACACGAGUGACACCAGUUAUUACUUGUUCUGGUACAGACAGCUAAGGGGGCAGAUGACUCUCGUUAUUCGCCAAGAAGCUUAUAAGCAGCAGAAUGCAACUGAGAACCGCUUCUCCGUGAACUUCCAGAAAGCAGUGAAGUCCUUCAGCCUCGAGAUCUCAGACUCGCAGCUGGAGGAUGCUGCGAUGUAUUUUUGUGCACUCAUGGAGAGGGUAGGAUCAGGAGUUCAAGACAAACUCAUCUUUGGAAAAGGAACCCAAGUGACCGUGGAACCGAAAAUUCAGCCUCCUACCAAACCAUCUGUUUUCGUCAUGAAAAAUGGAACGAAAGUUGCCUGUCUGGUGAAGGAUUUCUACCCCAAGGACGUGAAUAUAAGUCUCAGAUCAUCCAAGAAGAUAGCAGAAUUUGACCCUGCUAUAGUCAUCUCCCCCAGCGGGAAGUACAGUGCUGUCAAGCUCGGCCAGUAUGGAGAUUCAAAGUCAGUGACAUGCUCGGUUCAGCACAACAGUGAAACUGUGCACUCAACUGAUUUUGAAACACUUGAAAAUUCUUUUGAUAAUAUAAAACCACCAGAAGAGGAAAAUGUCACACAAACUUCAGAGACUUGUCAUGGCUCAAAAGUUCUUGUUCACACCAAGAAGGUAAACAUGAUGUCCCUCACGGUGCUGGGGCUCCGAAUCCUGUUUGCCAAGAGUGUCGCCAUCAAUUUUCUCUUUACUGCCAAGUUAUUCUUCUUUUAAGGCCGGCUGGCAUGAGGAGACUACAGUUCCUGAAUGAAAUCAAAAGCUUACAAAGAUGCUAUAUCCAAGGUUACCAACUCCUUAAUGCUUCAAACGACCCAUCACCACUGCUUCUAAAUGGCUGCUAACAAAAUCAGCUUUUCUGUGAAGGCAGCAAACCUAGCUAAUCCUCCAGUGUAGUAGCAAAGCAAAAGCCUUGGGGAGUGAGACUUGUGGGCCUGGCUUUACACACUGCCUUAUAAAGGCAUGGAAAGCUAUGAAAACAUAGAUCUAUUUUAUUUUACCCCCAUAACUGGUAUACUUCCAGAAUGUUGUUCCAUCCUUCUUCAUUUACCCAGAACUAGAAAGUGGGGACUAGUAAAUCACCCACUUAAUUACCCAGGAGGAAAAUGGUCUUGGGAGAGAGAAUAUUUAUCUUUCUAGCUAAAGGUGGAAAGCUGCACUCAACCCACAUCUAGCCAGCGCCCCCUCCUCCUCUCCUGGGCCACCCUCAGUGUAUGCCCCACCCUGUGUAUUUGCUUCCACAGCCAUGCAGGAGAGUUUAGCCCCUUCUGCUUCUCCUAAUACUUUACAGUCAUGUUCGGCUUCCUUAAUGCUCUCCAAGUAGGCAAUAAAGCUUCUACAAUCACA